CUCAACCUAACUGAAGCAGAACAAGAAGGACGGAUAUUUAUUACAAGUCUUCACAGGAAUGUAGGCGAUUAGCCACGGAGCCCUUCUCUGUCUAGCAUCAGGCAUCAGACGCCCAGCUAUACAGAGGCCAUUUGAAUGGAACUGCAGAAUAAUCUUCAGAAGAAAAAGCAAGCUCACAUGAGUGGCAGCAGCCCAUUGUGCUGAGCUAAAGACGCUGGAGAGAGUCUGGUUGGCGGUGGGGAGAAAAUGCUGUGGCUCUAUCAAAUACAGCUCAAAAAGCUACUCAUCCAGUUCAACUCUCUCCUUUGAAAGAUGAAGAUAUUGAGACCCAGAGAGGUAAAGUGACUUCUCUAAAAUCUCACAAUUAGCAAAACAAGGUUAUUUACAUCUUGUUCCUUAGGUUAAAGACUCACCUGAUUUUUCUCUCUCUACAAGCAGAUUCUGCAUAUUUUCUGUUGAAAAAAAAUUCCUUAAGGGUGU
ensembl:lincRNA